rnacentral:rRNA from 1 species
GAUGAACGCUAGCGAUAGGCCUAACACAUGCAAGUCGAGGGGCAUCACAUGAAGUAGCAAUACGGAUGGUGGCGACCGGCGCACGGGUGAGUAACACGUAUGCAACCUGCCUUCAACAAGGGGAUAACCCGUUGAAAGACGGACUAAUACCCUAUAACACAGGGGUCCCGCAUGGGAAUAUUUGUUAAAGGACAACCGGUUGAAGAUGGGCAUGCGUUCCAUUAGCUAGUUGGCGGGGUAACGGCCCACCAAGGCAACGAUGGAUAGGGGAACUGAGAGGUUUAUCCCCCACACUGGUACUGAGACACGGACCAGACUCCUACGGGAGGCAGCAGUGAGGAAUAUUGGUCAAUGGACGGAAGUCUGAACCAGCCAUGCCGCGUGAAGGAUGAAGGCGUUCUGCGUUGUAAACUUCUUUUAUACGGGAAUAAAGUUGCCCCACGCGUGGGGUUUUGCAUGUACCGUAUGAAUAAGGAUCGGCUAACUCCGUGCCAGCAGCCGCGGUAA